ACCCGUAACGUCACCGGGCCCCGGGGGUGCACGCUUUUUAAUUAAAAAGCGGAAAUGGGAAAGAGAGAGAGAGGGGGAGAACGAGAGACAGACAGACAGACAGACAGAGAGAGAGAGAGAGAGAGAGAGAGAGAGAGAGAGAGAGAACUACAGCUCAGACUGUGAACGUUUUCAGGAUUCAGAACUGCAACUGCGGAUACAGUCCAGCAGGUGGCGCAACAGCUCCGAGAUAUAGAAAUAUCCUUUUCAUUGAGUUUAUAAAUGAUCACUAUGUAGUGCUACAGUUUAUAUAAUAUAAUAAAUUCUGUACUGUGCAAAAGUUUUGGGCAGGUGGUAAAAAAGCAAAUAAACAGAAUAAUAAAUCUAGAUGAAUAUCUGGUGUGACCACCGUUUGCCUGCAAAACAGCAGUCAUUAUUCAUGCUACACUCAUACUCUCUUUUUGCUCACUUUGCAUUUUGUAAACUACAAACAAUGAACAAUAACAAACAAUUAAAAUAUCUCAUUUUGAAAGCA